AUUGAACGCUGGCGGAAUGCUUUACACAUGCAAGUCGAACGAUGAACCUUAGCUUGCUCCGGGGAUUAGUGGCGAACGGGUGAGUAAUAUAUCGGAACGUGCCUUGUAAUGGGGGAUAACUAGUCGAAAGAUUAGCUAAUACCGCAUACGCCCUGAGGGGGAAAGUAGGGGAUCUUCGGACCUUACGUUAUAAGAGCGGCCGAUAUCUGAUUAGCUAGCUGGUGGGGUAAUGGCCUACCAAGGCGGCGAUCAGUAGCUGGUCUGAGAGGACGACCAGCCACACUGGAACGGAGACACGGACCAUACUCCUAAGGGAGGCAGCAGUGGGGAAUUUUGGACAAUGGGCGCAAGCCUGAUCCAGCCAUCCCGCGUGAGUGAAGAAGGCCUUCGGGUUGUAAAGAUCUUUCGCAAGGGAAGAAAACUUACCAUCGAAUAAAUGGUGAGGCUGACGGUACCUUGAUAAGAAGCACCGGCUAACUACGUG
rnacentral:rRNA from 1 species